rnacentral:rRNA from 1 species
AGAGUUUGAUCCUGGCUCAGAACGAACGCUGGCGGCAGGCCUAACACAUGCAAGUCGAGGGGGAAGCCACUUUCGGGUGGUGGAGACCGGCGCACGGGUGAGUAACGCGUGGGAAUUUACCCUGGGGUGGGGAAUAACCGCUGGAAACGGCGGCUAAUACCGCAUACGCCUUUCGAGGGAAAGCUUUAGUGCCCUGGGAUGAGCCCGCGUUAGAUUAGGUAGUUGGUGGGGUAAAGGCCUACCAAGCCAUCGAUCUAUAGCUGGUCUGAGAGGAUGAUCAGCCACACUGGGACUGAGACACGGCCCAGACUCCUACGGGAGGCAGCAGUGGGGAAUAUUGGACAAUGGGGGCAACCCUGAUCCAGCCAUGCCGCGUGCGUGAAGAAGGCCUUAGGGUUGUAAAGCGCUUUCACUGGUGAAGAUGAUGACGGUAGCCAGAGAAGAAGCCCCGGCUAACUCCGUGCCAGCAGCCGCGGUAAUACGGAGGGGGCAAGCGUUGUUCGGAAUUACUGGGCGUAAAGGGCGCGUAGGCGGGAAGUCAAGUUAGGGGUGAAAGGCCUGGGCUCAACCUAGGAACUGCCUCUAAAACUGGCUAUCUAGAGUCCGGGAGAGGAUGGCGGAAUUCCCAGUGUAGAGGUGAAAUUCGUAGAUAUUGGGAAGAACACCAGUGGCGA